rnacentral:rRNA from 1 species
GACGAACCGUGCGAACGUUGUUCGGAAUCACUGGGCUUAAAGGGCGCGUAGGCGGGUGUGCAAGUCUGCGGUGAAAGCCUCCAGCUUAACUGGAGAAGUGCCGUGGAUACUGCAUAUCUUGAGGAGGGUAGGGGCAUCUGGAACAUUGGGUGGAGCGGUGAAAUGCGUUGAUAUCCAAUGGAACUCCGGUGGCGAAGGCGAGGUGCUGGACCCUUUCUGACGCUGAGGCGCGAAAGCGUGGGGAGCGAUCCGG